UUGUAGAUUAACACAAGGGAUCACCUUUCUUCAGAGAUGCAGAGAUCCUGAGCCAGACCAGAGAACAUGUGACAAUCGGGAGCUGGAAAUCUUGCCACUUGGUGAUUCCAAUGGACGGAACACAGAGCAGAUGACUAGGAACUAGAGGGCAGUGUUGGAAAGAAAAUGUGGAGUGGUGGCUCUGAGGCUAGGGAUCUGUACCAGUAACUGGAAGGCUGCUUGUUCAAAUCCUUAUUCUGCCAGAGUGAUUCUACUCCGUUGGGGCCUUGAGUAAAGCCCUUAACCUGCAAUUGCUUCAUCCUAGAUGUGAUGUUAAUCUACAUUCAGCCCUAUAAGGAAGUCCUUCAACUUCCAGGGAAAAACUUGGGGGUUGGUAGCAGGUCCAUUUGGACUAGUGUGGUGCUGAGGUAUCACCCACCACAUGGCUGCACUCGGGUUCUCAUCCCUGAAGUGGUUCGUCGUGUGCUGGGUGCAGCAACACACUAAUCAGUGCCUGCUCCUUACCUCUCUCUUUGUUAAAUGUUUUGUAUUUAAUUGCUUGGCAGUCUCUGAAUUAUGUUUUUGCGUUUCCUCAAUGUUUUGCAUUUUGCACUGAUGACUGACUUUUUUAAAUUGGUAGUUUAUAUCAGAAUAAUAGGUACGCAUUUUUCUGCUAGAGAUUUUAUUCAUUUAUUUUAAGUCCAUUACACCACUUCAUCAAAAAGUGUAUAGCCUAACAAAUGAUUUUGUGGUUAAGUGGUUUAGUCUCAUGCCCAUUCAUAGUUCAUAUAAGUUUAACCUGGACAGAACACAGAUCAAAAUUCCAUGAAGAUGCCAGCAGGAAACCUUAUUCUUCACUUAGUUCCAAUCUAACCUUCCACACUUGCAACUUUGUAAAGUUAUACUGCCAAGCUCAGAAUGUAGGCGAGUCACCUUGAUAAAUUUUGAAAAUUUAUUUGUUCCAUUCUUAAUAAAAGUUAAACCUAGCUGACCUACAUGAUACACUGAUAGUAAACUAGGGGAACUUAGCUGAAGUCAACUACCUACCCCCCUCUCCCUCGUGGCCAUGAGCACAUCCAUUUUCAAAAAAUGAGCCAGCCCCAAAAUGCAAAACGCAAAACAUUGCAGAAACAAUGAAUAUUAUUCCCUCUCGACCAUAGCGGUAACUCUCAAGGAGCGAUUUAUUUCAAUGUACACAAUUUGAAUUGCUGGAUUCUUAUUUGCCAAAUGUAUAUAUUACUGUAUAUAACUUCAAUGGUGUAAACCUUUUGUUCUGCAUUGUACUGUGACCUAAAUAACUACUUGGACUUUCUGAUAUGUAAUUGUGCUGGCAGAGAAUGAUUCUCGCCAGUAGGGGGUGUCGUGUUAUUAAAAAAACACUUCGUGAGUCCGAC